rnacentral:rRNA from 1 species
CCUAUGAAGACCUUGCGGCGUGCUUAACACAUGCAAGUCGAACGAUGAACCCGAACUUGCUUUGGGGGAUUAGUGGCGAACGGGUGAGUAACACGUGAGCAACCUGCCCCUCACUCUGGGAUAAGCGCUGGAAACGGCGUCUAAUACUGGAUACGAGACGCGACCGCAUGGUCAGUGUCUGGAAAGAUUUUUUGGUGGGGGAUGGGCUCGCGGCCUAUCAGCUUGUUGGUGAGGUAAUGGCUCACCAAGGCGUCGACGGGUAGCCGGCCUGAGAGGGUGACCGGCCACACUGGGACUGAGACACGGCCCAGACUCCUACGGGAGGCAGCAGUGGGGAAUAUUGCACAAUGGGCGGAAGCCUGAUGCAGCAACGCCGCGUGAGGGAUGACGGCCUUCGGGUUGUAAACCUCUUUUAGCAGGGAAGAAGCGAAAGUGACGGUACCUGCAGAAAAAGCACCGGCUAACUACGUGCCAGCAGCCGCGGUAAUACGUAGGGUGCAAGCGUUAUCCGGAAUUAUUGGGCGUAAAGAGCUCGUAGGCGGUUCGUCGCGUCUGCUGUGAAAUCCCGAGGCUCAACCUCGGGCCUGCAGUGGGUACGGGCAGACUAGAGUGCGGUAGGGGAGAUUGGAAUUCCUGGUGUAACCGGUGGAAUGCGCAGAUAUCAGGAGGAACACCGAUGGCGAAGGCAGAUCUUUUGGGCCCGUAACUUGACGCUUAAGGAACC